CUCCAAUAGCGUAUAUUAAAGUUGUUGCAGUUAAAAAGCUCGUAGUUGAAUUUCGGGAUCAAGGAAUCGGUCAUGCCUCGGUAUGUACUGGUUUUAUUGGUUCUCACCUUCUAAAGAACCAUAAUGUCGUUCAUUUGAUGUUAUGGGGAAUUAGGACUGUUACCUUGAAAAAAUUAGAGUGUUUAAAGCAGGCUUACGCUUGAAUACAUUAGCAUGGAAUAAUGAAAUAGGACAUCAGAUUCUAUUUUGUUGGUUUCUAGGAUCGAUGUAAUGAUUAAUAGGGAUAGUUGGG
rnacentral:rRNA from 1 species